UACGAGAUCGCGACAGUUUGGGCUUUUUGAUUCUAUAUAUAUAUAUAUAUAUCAUCAUCAUCAUCAGGCAAAAAGAAAUAUCAAAAUAACCAUCUAAAAAUAGUCUAAUGCUAAAGGCCUUGGCCAAGCAAACGAGGACAUAUGUUGCCAGAAACAUGUUGUCCGCGCGCAUGUUUCCUCGAUGUUUCCCAGAUGAUGUUUCCAUGGCCACCAUGGAAACAUUGUUGCGCGCCACAAAAUACGUUUCCACAGCGAGGUAGAAACAUUUCAUGUUUCCAAGCGCGCGUAAACAUGUUUCCCGAUGUUUCGUGACCGUUUGGCCACCCUCGUUUGGCCAGGGCCUAAUUUACCGACUUCAAUCGAAAAUGAAUAGCUCACAUGAAUCAGCCGACGUAAAUGGACACUAAAUUGAUACUUUCUCACACUUACUCUGCUAGGAUGAAAACCUGGCGGCUCAGAGAGGCUCUUUAAAAUCUUUUCUUUGCUGGGGCGCUAGGAUAGGGGCUGAGAGUGCCAUCAAUCACUGAGCUGUCAGACAAUGAGCAAUAAGUCACUGCCAUGUCUCGACAGUUGCAUGGGCCACAAUCCCCAAUAAUAAUAAGCUUUUGGAUUUGGUUUACUGCGCCUAAUAAACAAAAUAGAUUUUAGAUAUCUGGACAUAGCAAAACAACUUUUUUUAAGGAAAAAGAGUCAAUUUUUUUUGAACGACUGUAAUACUUGAAUACCAACGGCAAUAAUAGCGGAAAUUUCCUUUUCAAAUUUCAAGGGGCCGUAUGACGUAAAUUCACAUCAAUAUUACGCCUUCUCGCUACAUUCAUUAGAAAGAGCAUUGUUUGAUAUACUCUUGGUGAAAAAAUUAGCUCAAAACUCCAACAGCAAAGUAGUAGAAAGUCAUAAUAAAGCCCGUAUAAAACGUUCGAAAAUCGGCGGCCAUUGCUUGAGCUUGAUUUGGAAAGCACUUAUGACGUCACUUGUCCCCAACAAGUCGGCUCAUUACAUUCAGAACCAUUGGCAAAUAGACGUGUAUACUUGGUGUCUGGUCUCCAAACAUUAAUAUGGAGCGGUUAUGGGAAGAAAGACGGGCCUGUUUUUAAAUUUGAUUACCUGACCGAGAUCCAGAAGAAACCUUUCGCAUUCUAAACCCCUGGUAGCCGGAGAAAACUGCCUUGAAUUACGAGCGUCUGCUAUAAAAAGCGAUCAUCUGCCGACCACGUGCGUAAUUUCAACACGAAAGGAAUCAACAAGUCCACCUCUACAAGGGUACAACUCCUAACAAGAUAUCUUUCAGAUUGUUCCCUCUUAUCCCUCACUGCCUAAUACAGUUUGCAGCAAAAGUUUGGUCUUUUUUAAUUUUUUAUUUUAUUUUGGAAUAAGCUCCCUUUUAAACUAUCUAAAAAUAGUUAGCUUGAAGACUGUCACAAAAUAUUCUAAUGCAUGGGAAAUUAAAUAAAAUAUGGAACUAAUC